GCUGGCGGCGUGCCUAACACAUGCAAGUCGGACGCGAAAGCCCCGCAAGGGGCCGGUAGAGUGGCGCACGGGUGAGUAACACGUGGAUAACCUGCCUGGCAGAGGGGACUAACCUCCCGAAAGGGGGGCUAAUGCCGCAUAAGACCCUGGGGCGAAGGCCGUGGGGUUGAAAGGGGAGACCCGCUGGCAGAGGGGUCCGCGCCUGAUUAGCUGGUUGGUGAGGUAACGGCUCACCAAGGCUGCGAUCAGUAGCCGUCCUGAGAGGGAGCACGGCCACACUGGAACUGAGACACGGUCCAGACUCCUACGGGAGGCAGCAGUGGGGAAUUUUUGGCAAUGGGGGCAACCCUGACCAAGCAACGCCGCGUGGGUGAGGAAGUACCUUGGUACCUAAAGCCCUUUCGGCAGGGACGAA
rnacentral:rRNA from 1 species